GGGCCAGUAACUCAGUUGGUAGAGUAGCGGACUCUUAAUCCGUUUGUCGUGGGUUCGAACCCCUCCUGGCCUACCA
rnacentral:tRNA from 1 species